UACAGAGGGUGCAAGCGUUAAUCGGAAUUACUGGGCGUAAAGCGCGCGUAGGUGGUUUGUUAAGUUUGGAUGUGAAAGCCCCGGGCUCAACCUGGGAACUGCAUUCAAAACUGACAAGCUAGAGUAUGGUAGAGGGUGGUGGAAUUUUCCUGUGUAGCGGUGAAAUGCGUAGAUAUAGGAAGGAACACCAGUGGCGAAGGCGACCACCUGGACUGAUACUGACACUGAGGUGCGAAAGCCGUGGGGAGCAAACAGG
rnacentral:rRNA from 1 species